ensembl:misc_RNA
AAAGCAUUAUUUACAAACAGCAUUUAACUCCUUGCAGUACACCUCUCAAACGACAUCUUCAUCAAGUAGGUAAGAU